AUGUAAUUUAUUAUGAAAAGUAAUGCAAGCAAUCAUAUAAUUUAAGAUGCACAUUAUAAUUUAUCCCUUAACUUAGGGAAAAAACCUCAACUCACCUCGAAACAAUUUCACAAGUCUUCUCACAACAACCUCGCAUAGCCAACUCUUUAGAAUCUACAAUUUAAGUAGUUGAACCCGUUAACCCAAAUUAUUCAUUCAACCCAAUUCCUUCAUCAAAAUCUCAUUAGUUAUUUAGGGAUUAUGAUUGCUUCUAAAUUUAAACUCUAUCAAUUGUACAAUAUAUAGUUAUAAGGUGUUGUAAAGAUUUCAAUUUAAAUAGUAAAAGUAAACGAAAAUACCUUCUUGAAGAAAGACUUAUUCUUCACUUCUUGAGUUCUUGAAGAUGAUCUAAGGAUUUUAAGAUGAAAUCUCGUUAGAAUUUACAUCGUGGAGUAUAACCUAAAUCGUAUUAAAAACUCACCUUGAGCAUUGGGGGAAUGAUCUUGAAUUAGUAUCUCCUUGAAA
rnacentral:lncRNA from 1 species